AGGGCACCACCAGGAGUGGAGCCUGCGGCUUAAUUUGACUCAACACGGGAAGACUCACCCGGCCCGGACACCGUAAGGAUUGACAGAUUGAGAGCUCUUUCUUGAUUCGGUGGGUGGUGGUGCAUGGCCGUUCUUAGUUGGUGGAGCGAUUUGUCUGGUUAAUUCCGAUAACGAACGAGACUCUAGCCUGCUAAAUAGGCAGCGGAUUCUUAGUCCGCUGUACUUCUUAGAGGGACAAGCAGCGUCUAGCUGCACGAGAUUGAGCAAUAACAGGUCUGUGAUGCCCUUAGAUGUUCGGGGCUGCACGCGCGCUACACUGAAGGAAUCAACAUGCUUCUCAACCUUGCCCGGAAGGGCUAGGUAACCCGUUGAAACUCCUUCGUGAUUGGGAUAGGGAAUUGCAAUUAUUUCCCUUGAACGAGGAAUUCCCAGUAAGUGCGGGUCAUCAGCUCGCGCUGAUUACGUCCCUGCCCUUUGUACACACCGCCCGUCGCUACUACCGAUUGGAAGUAGACGAGA
rnacentral:rRNA from 1 species